UCCGAUCGAUUUUGCUGAAGGGUAUCUAAGGUCCAAGUCAGUGAUAUGAUCCGAUCUUCCCAUCACUACCGGGUGGGUCGGUCAGACCGACCGAAGCUCCGCCCGCGCAUGCGCACAAGCCGAUUUUCGAAAAAAGCGGUCACUUGAGGAAAUACAGCUGAUUUAAUAGGAGUUGUGUGUUCUCAAUAAGAAAAUAGCGCAUUCUCCCAUACACACGUACACAUGCACACACACACACACAUAUACUGAUACACACAUUUCCACACACACACUGCGGAGAUUCUCGGCGUUUCUGCGCUGUUUUAUCGGAUUAAAGUGCGGAUUUAGUGAAACGUUAAUCUCGGUUCUAGACUGUACUGUGUGUUUGCCUGCUGAGCAGCUGCUGUUCUGUGCUGGUUCCUGUAGUGCUUUAAUCUCCACACAGCCCCGGCAGGUCGGCUGAGUCACUACAGUGUUAAUAACAGUGUUCACAUCUAUACUCCAC